rnacentral:rRNA from 1 species
UACGGGGGGUGCGAGCGUUGUCCGGAAUCACUGGGCGUAAAGAGCUCGUAGGCGGUUGGGUAAGUCGGGUGUGAAAACUCCAGGCUCAACUUGGAGACGCCACCCGAUACUGCUCUGACUUGAGUUCGGUAGGGGAGUGGGGAAUUCCUGGUGUAGCGGUGAAAUGCGCAGAUAUCGGGAGGAACACCAGUGGCGAAGGCGACUAUCUGGGCUGCAACUGACGCUGAGGCGCGAAGGUUAGGGUAGCAAACAGG